UGCAGAAUCCCGUGAACCAUCGAGUCUUUGAACGCAAGUUGCGCCAGAAGCCGCCAGGCCGAGGGCACGCCUGCCUGGGCGUCA
rnacentral:rRNA from 1 species